rnacentral:sRNA from 1 species
GAAUCAGCUGAUCCCGCGGACCCACUGGGUUGCCAAGCUCGCGCCGGAUGCGGAGCGCGGUGCUGCCGGUGGAGCUUCAGGUCUUGAUAGACUUUCUGUAAAGAAGGAAUGAUUUGGUGAUGGAGUGUUCCCACUGACCGAUGGACUCAAAGAAGAGAAGCUCAACAGAGGCAGAAGGAUCCAAGGAAAGAGGCCUGGUCCAUAUCUGGCAGGCAGGAUCCUUUCCCAUAACACCAGAGAGAUUGCCAGGCUGGGGAGGAAAGACUGUUUUGCAGGCAGCCCUCGGAGUGAAACAUGGAGUUCUUCUGACUGAAGGCAUAAAUAGCAAUUCACAAUGCAUAUUAUAAAAUCUAUGGUGAGGUCUACAGCUUUGGGACUCUUCCCUGGAGAAGUGGACCAGUGGAGAUUUGUCCAAGUAGCCCCAUUCUAGAAAAUGCCCUGGUUGGGCAAUAUGUUGUUACUGUGGCAACAGGAAGCUUCCAUAGUGGAGCAGUGACAGACAAUGGUGUCGCGUACAUGUGGGGAGAGAAUUCUGCUGGCCAGUGUGCAGUAGCCAACCAGCAGUAUGUGCCGGAACCAAAUCCUGUCAGCAUUGCUGAUUCUGAGGCCAGCCCUUUGUUAGCAGUCAGGAUUUUACAGUUGGCAUGUGGCGAGGAGCACACUCUGGCAUUGUCAAUAAGCAGAGAGAUUUGGGCAUGGGGUACCGGUUGUCAGUUGGGUCUCAUUACCACUGCCUUCCCAGUGACAAAGCCACAAAAGGUAGAACAU